AUUGAACGCUGGCGGCAGGCCUAACCCAUGCAAGUCGAACGAGUGGCGGACGGGUGAGUAAUGUCUGAGAAACUGCCCGAUGGAGGGGGAUAUCUACUGGACACGGUCGCUUAUACCGCAUCCCCUCAGCUGUGCCCAGAUGGGAUUAGCGUGUUGGUGGGGUAACGUCUCACCAAGGCGACGAUCCCUAGCUGGUCUGCGGGGAUGACCAGCAACACGGGAACUGAGACACGGUCCAGACUCCUACGGUAGGCAGCAGUGGGGAAUAUUGCACAAUGGGCGCAAGCCUGAUGCAGCCAUGCCGCGUGUAUGAAGAAGGCCUUCGGGUUGUAAAGGACUUUCAGCGGGGAGGCGUUACCCGCAGAAGAAGCACCGGCUAACUCCGUGCCAGCAGCCGCGGUAAUUC
rnacentral:rRNA from 1 species